rnacentral:rRNA from 1 species
UACGUAGGGCGCAAGCGUUAUCCGGAAUUAUUGGGCGUAAAGAGCUCGUAGGCGGUUUGUCGCGUCUGCCGUGAAAACCUGCAGCUUAACUGUGGGCGUGCGGUCGAUACGGGCAUCACUGGAGUUCGGCAGGGGAGACUGGAAUUUCUGGUGUAGCGGUGAAAUGCGCAGAUAUCAGGAGGAACACCGGUGGCGAAGGCGGGUCUCUGGGCCGAUACUGACGCUGAGGAGCGAAAGCGUGGGGAGCGAACAGG